UUUGGUUACAUAAAUGAAAGACCAAAUAUUUUAUUUGACUCGACUUGAACGACCUAACUUCACUAGUAGCGGUGGAUAUUGUGACCUAAAAACACAACAUCUCAACAGAAAGACAACAGAUUUUUUCUGCACAUUUGUAGCUGGAACCCUCAUCUAACCAGAGCCAAUGAACAUCAACAACAGAAAUGUUUUUUCUACAAAAGACGGCAUACUAAGUUGUGAAAUUCCCCUUACCUUAAACACUAGUGUCAACUCAAGGCCCCCCACGCCAUUUUAUACGACCCGCGACGGCUCUAAGCGCACAUGAUUGGCUCAAAUAAGGUCCAUUCUAAUUUAAAGCGCACAUUGCCCAUAAACUACAUCUCCCACAAUGCACUUCACUUGUUUUUUAGCCGUGAAGUGACAUCUCGCGAGUCCCACCGGCAGAGUGCGGUGUGCCGAUUUUCUGACGAGGGGAGAUUAUAAAUAUCGAUUCCAUAAUGUCCAAGAGAAAAGUUAAAAAAAGGAAUAAAAAGUAAUAAACAUGGGAGAGAGAAGAUAUGUUCGUACUACGAGGAGACAAACCGGCCAACACCAUCAGGGCACAAUGUCACCUUCAAAUGGAGCGCGCGAAGUUCCCCGGAUGUCGUCCGCUGUCUUGAUGCCACAGCGCCGACGUCACGCUGGUCGUGUUCUGUUUACUUUCAUGUAUGUAAUUCAACAGUCGUGCUUACAUUCUGUUUUUUCAAGUUAAUUUAAUUUUGUAUCGCCCCAAAUAUUGCUUUAUUGUCUGUAUGGAAUAUCACCUGUCUCGAAACCCUCACAUCAGCACAAGAAAAACCCUUUAAUGGGGAGAAAAGGUUUUGUGCUUGUUAUUUUAAUGAUCAAUGGAUGAGGAUGUGGUGUUUCAGGUUGAGGAGGAAUCUGGUUGGUGUGUUCUGGCCAUAUCGACGUCACCCUUGUUACACUUGUAACUUCAACAUUGUAAGUUUGAGACAGCUUGAUACUUAAUAAUAAAACAAAUUAAAAAUCUGACUGUGUAUUAGAUUUUGGCCCACUACUCUGCUGAUCCUGGUUGGUCAGCAGUGCUGUCAAUCUAAUGUUGCUUGGGAGUUGCUCUAAUGAUUCCAACGAGGUGUCAAUCACGCUAAUCGACCAACUCGUCACUGAGAAGUAGCCUGCUAACUGACUGAUUUUGUGUAGACUUUCUUGGAUUCUUCAUUUAUUAUUUAAUGGUAGAAGUCUGGUUUAUUUAUUUUUUUUAAAUCAACCAUUGCAGAGAGAAUGUUAACAUAUUGUGCUAUAAUCUGCUAGAGGUUUAGAGCUAUAAUAUUAUAAAUCCAACAAGAUAAUCAUCCUGAAAGUGCUUUUUAUUUGAGGCCAACCUGAAACCAGUGCAAUGUGCCACCUUCAUUGACUUCUAACCUGCAUCAUACAUAAUUGAUGCUAAUGUUUAACAAGCCAGUGUGAAAAUCAGGUAGGCUUCUCCAACGGGGCAGAGAAUAAAACCUCAUCAACCAUCCAGCAAACAAAGCAGUCAAAGGGUCAAACAAGAAAACCUAAUGCCCAAUUUACAUGAAUUAUCCAUGCAAGCUGAGCUGAUUACUUCUUCAGUGGACCAAGAAAGCAGACACCAGCUCCACCUAGAGGACGUCUGUGUGCAUGCACGCAUUAGAUCGCUUCCUCAACCUGUUGCCCAAAUGUGUCCCGCUGUGAACUCUUGUGAUCUCACUAACAUAAUUACCUUGUUUUCAGCUCCAAACAUUGCCAAAUCGGACCCGGAUGGUUCAUUUAUUUAAUGAUGACACGAUUAGCUCGACAUAUUCAGACGGUAAGUCAGAGCCUGCGUUCAUUAAAAGUCUCGUAGUUCAGCCUGCUGAGAAUUUUCACGCAAUUGUUUUCCCAGUAAUGUGAAAGCUUUGGUAACUGUUUCUUAUUCAAACUGCUUACUGAAACUUCUUUAAGUUGUCUGAAUUGACAUUUAAUAGUUAACUUAAUUGACAAGUUUGAAAGAACUAUACUAAAGCUUACUCCCAUGAUACCAGUUGUUUUACUGUGAUCUGUGAUCUUUAUCAGCUUAAAAUGACUUGAGUUACUUCCCUGAGAAAUCUAGUGCCAAUUGGUUUCCUUACUCUCUAUUUAAGUCUUAUUCAUAUGUCACAGCGUGGUGCUUCUGUGGUCGAGUGGCCCAUUGUAAAAGGAAAAGACACGGAUGGGGUGCGUGGAGCAUCCGCGGUGAAUGGCGUCUCUUCUUAAUCCCAGGUCUUCCCAGUUGAAGAUCCUUCAGUAUUUUGGGAGCUGGACCUCUGCUCGACCCCACCACUCCCUGCGAAUCCAUAAAUACCCACCGAACCCGCUCGCCCCCCCCCUCCGCUCUCAUGCACACGGUUUCCCUCCCUCUCUCCAGCUUUACUUAUCUAAAUGCUGCUGUGGCAAGUGGCAUUAAUAAAGUAACUAUCUGUCUUAACGUAGCGUCUCAAUGGGUUCAGGCAUCAUUUACCAUCCGGGCAACACAGAGUUCAAGCCUUGCAUCUGAAUGUUUACCGGUAAUAAAUCUGUUAAAGCUUCCA